GGAAAACGUAAGAGUCAGAAUCAAAACUCCAAAUUUCUCUUCGACUCCUUCUUCUUCCCUCUCGUCGAGCCAUCAAGCCCCUCUUCUUCCUCACGACCUCUUGUUCUUCCCUCUCGAGCUCUUGUUCUUCACUCUCAUCGAACCAUUUUUAUCCAUCCCUUCUUCUCUAGCCUCCACUGCACACACCUCUUUCGUGUUACCCUCUCCUCGAACCCUAGCCGCUACCCCGUGCUCCAUUACAAGGUUGAGGGGACUGGAGACCGCUCCACCAUUCAUGCCUCCUCGUUGGCUCUCCCCUUGGAACCCUAACUCAUUCUUAGACUCACGUGGAGACGACUGGAAUGGUAGCGUCGAAGUCUCGUGCUUACUGACUAAAGCUUUCUCACUCACACUCGCUCACGGUCACUGGUAGAGAAGAAGAAUGUCUCCCACUAACUGUUCUUCUCGCUCACGCUCACUCAAAGAGAAGAAGUUCGUCCAUUCUUCUCGUGUUCACUCACCUUGUUGUACAUCAUGCUCACCUGGGAGAGUUAUCCGUUCAAUCGAAUGGUCCGUUGUGGGGUUUGCGCAAAGAUUCACCAAAUAUAUUCGUUUGUUCUUGAAUAUGUAGUUGAUUUUGAUGAAUAGAGCUUCUGAAAUGUGAAAGACGGUGAUGGACUUAUUCCUAGGCCAAACCAUGGAAAUGAGAGUGCAAAAGAAGAAGAGAGAGACCGGAGAGUGGGUGGCCGUUGAUGCCAAGACCAAACCCCUCUUGGAGCUCCAGACGAGGGUCAUUUCAUUUGUCUUUCAAACCAGCAAUCCCAGACUUCUAAUCAUAGCAUGCACCAACAAGAUAGAGUAGGGGGAGGUGGUGGCAGUGUCACUGUGGUUGGUGGCAUGUCAAACUCAUUUAGAGGAAAUGACCAGGUUUCAAAAAGCCAAAUUGGGAGAAAGAGAAAGCAGCCUAGAUCAUCGUCAGGUCCUGCUAAUAGUACAGGCACAGCAAAUAGUUAGGAAACAUCAAUUGGUGGUCUCCUUCUUCUCUUAAAAAAAAGUAGUUUUUCUCUCUUCCUUUGGUCUGCAUAAAAUUGCAUAUAUAUAAAAAAAAUGAAGAAGUUUGUACUCAAGUUGGAUUUGCAUGAUGACAAGGAAAAGCAGAAGGCCUUGAAAACAGUUUCAACUCUUUCAGUUCGAAGGUGGUGCAAAAGAAGGUGGUAGAGGACCAAGUGUGUGGGAUACUUUCACCCAUAAAUUUCCAGAUAAGAUACUGGACAAAAGCAAUGGAGAUGUGGCUAUAGAUACAUAUCACCGUUAUAAGGCUGCUACGAACUACAUGUAUAAGAUAAUGAAUAAUGCAAGUUUGAGCAUAUCACACAUGGUAGGGCCAGCAGAGAAAGUGACUUUGGCUGAUCAUCCAAUCGAAGGCUUCUACUUCAUGACUGUUGGUUUAUCUCAGAAAAGAAAGCAUGAAAGUGGCCAAUGGCUUUUGAGCCCUGCUUCUUUUCUGUGUUGGCAGUCUAUCUGUGCAGAAAGAACCGUAGGGAUGCUUUUCUGUGCUGGUAUUCCGAGAGUUAAUGGUUGGAAAAGGUAUAACAAAAGAUGAUAAAGCUCAAACAUAAUUGUUCUGGUUGUGAUUACAAGUUGCUAAAUUAGUAUUGAAGUCCAAAGUGUUAUUACUACAGAGAGGUAUAUGAUUCAAAUGCUACAUAAAUAUUUUAUUGUAUUAGUUGGUUAAAAUCUUGUUUAAUAUAUAUUUGUAUAGUGUGGAUGCAGGGCAUAUAUAUUUAUUGUAUGGGAUGUUAGUCAUGAUUGAUAUAUUGUUAUAUAUAUUACAUUUAUUACGUUAUAUAUUAUAUAGCAAGCUAAGAUAAGUUUUCGUUUCA